rnacentral:rRNA from 1 species
GACGAACGCUGGCGGCGUGCUUAACACAUGCAAGUCGAACGAAGUGGCGAACGGGUGAGUAACGCGUAAUCAACCUGCCCUUCAGAGGGGGACAACAGUUGGAAACGACUGCUAAUACCGCAUACUGAAGGAGGGGAUUGCGUCUGAUUAGCUAGGUGGAGGGGUAACGGCCCACCAAGGGGAUGAUCAGUAGCCGGUCUGGGCGGGUGAACGGCCACAUUGGGACUGGGAAACGGCCCAAGAUCCUACGGGAGGCAGCAGUGGGGAAACUUCCGCAAUGGACGAAAGUCUGACGGAGCAACGCCGCGGGAGUGAUGACGGCCUUCGGGUUGUAAAGCUCUGUUAAUCGGGACGCGGUACCGGAAUAGAAAGCCACGGCUAACUACGUGCCAGCAGCCGCGGUAAGUC